UAUAAAUGAACUGGUCACUGACCAGUAACAGGUCAGAGCGAAGCCACACUCAGUGUUUGAGCUGAUUUCACUGACUAAAGUAAACAAUGAAGACUUUUUUCCCGCUAAUUUUGUUUGCCGUUUUAAUGCUGUUCGCGACAGCUGGCUACACUGACGCACAGGAUCUAGAAUCGGAAGUUAUAGUUAACGGUGAUGUACCUCCUCGUCUGAAGCGGCGACCACAAGGAGACUGCCCCGUCUAUGAGCCUGGGCCUUGCCACCCGAUUGAUAAGGCCCCAUAAUUCAAGUUUUUUUGGAAGGAACGUUUUUUUAAUUCGGGAACAUCUGGCUUUCAAUAAAGUUUUGCAACAGUUCAGAGCUAUCAAAACCUGUGUGAGAUAAAAGAAAAUAAAAUUCCGAAAGUCUUGCGUCACGAUUUUUUUCUCUCCAGA